rnacentral:rRNA from 1 species
UAGGGAAUCUUCCGCAAUGGGCGAAAGCCUGACGGAGCGACGCCGCGUGAGCGAAGAAGGCCUUCGGGUCGUAAAGCUCUGUUGUGAGGGACGAAGGAGCGCCGUUCGAAGAGGGCGGCGCGGUGACGGUACCUCACGAGAAAGCCCCGGCUAACUACGUGCCAGCAGCCGCGGUAAUACGUAGGGGGCGAGCGUUGUCCGGAAUUAUUGGGCGUAAAGCGCGCGCAGGCGGUCUCUUAAGUCUGAUGUGAAAGCCCACGGCUCAACCGUGGAGGGUCAUUGGAAACUGGGGGACUUGAGGGCAGGAGAGGAGAGCGGAAUUCCACGUGGAGCGGUGAAAUGCGUAGAGAUGUGGAGGAACACCAGUGGCGAAGGCGGCUCUCUGGCCUGCACCUGACGCUGAGGCGCGAAAGCGUGGGGAGCAAACA